UACGUAGGGGGCAAGCGUUGUCCGGAUUUAUUGGGCGUAAAGAGCGUGUAGGCGGCCAAGCAGGUCAGCUGUGAAAACUCGAGGCUCAACCUCGAGACGUCGGUUGAAACCGCUUGGCUAGAGUCCGGAAGAGGAGAGUGGAAUUCCCGGUGUGGCGGUGAAAUGCGCAGAUAUCAGGAGGAACACCGGUGGCGAAGGCGGUUCUCUGGGCAUUACCUGACGCUGAGGAGCGAAAGUGUGGGGAGCGAACAGG
rnacentral:rRNA from 1 species